rnacentral:rRNA from 1 species
UAAAGUCGUAGUUGAAUCUGUGUUUCACACUGUCGGUUCACCGCUCGCGGUGUUUACUGGCAUGAUGUGGGACGUCCUACCGGUGGACUUGGCCCCUCGGGGCGGUCCAAAUAAUAUCCCAUCGCGGUGCUCUUCAUUGAGUGUCGAGAUGGGCCGGUACGUUUACUUUGAACAAAUUAGAGUGCUCAAAGCAGGCUAGCCUCGCCUGAAUACUGUGUGCAUGGAAUAAUGGAAUAGGACCUCGGUUCUAUUUUGUUGGUUUUCGGAACACCGAGGUAAUGAUUAAUAGGGACAGAUGGGGGCAUUCGUAUUGCGACGUUAGAGUAU